UUGGGUGUUUAACGGCUGUGGACGCGCCGCGCUCCCGAUGCGAGUGUGCAAACUACUGCGCAGGAGAGGCUGCGGCGAGACCGCCACUGUAUUUCGGAGACGGCCACCCGCUAAGGGAGGGCCGAUCCCCAACGCCGACCCCCCGGAGGGGUUCGAGGGUUGAAAUGACGCUCGGACAGGCAUGCCCGCCAGAAUACUGGCGGGCGCAAUGUGCGUUCAAAGAUUC
rnacentral:misc_RNA from 1 species